UAAAUACUCCCUCCGUUCCAAAUUACUUGUCACAGAUAUAGAUGUAUCUAGAUGUAUUUUAGUUCUAGAUACAUCCAUUUCUGCGACAAGUAAUUUGGAACGGAGGGAGUACAUG
rnacentral:pre_miRNA from 1 species